GAUGAACGCUGGCGGCGUGCUUAACACAUGCGAGUCGAACGAACCUUCGGGUUAGUGGCGGACGGGUGAGUAACGCGUGGGAAUCUGCCCUCAGGAGGGGGAUAACGGCUGGAAACGGCCGCUAAUACCCCAUAUGCCGAGAGGUGAAAUGAAUUUCGCCUGAGGAUGAGCCCGCGUCUGAUUAGCUAGUUGGUGAGGUAAGAGCUCACCAAGGCAUCGAUCAGUAGCUGGUCUGAGAGGAUGAUCAGCCACACUGGGACUGAGACACGGCCCAGACUCCUACGGGAGGCAGCAGUGGGGAAUUUUCCGCAAUGGGCGAAAGCCUGACGGAGCAACGCCGCGUGAGGGAUGAAGGCCUCUGGGCUGUAAACCUCUUUCUCAAGGAAGAAGAUCUGACGGUACUUGAGGAAUAAAGCCACGGCUAAUUCCGUGCCAGCAGCCGCCGUAAG
rnacentral:rRNA from 1 species